rnacentral:lncRNA from 1 species
AGACAGCUGUUUGUCCCCCAGUAUCCUUCAGACAAAGCCAUAUAUGAUUGAAGGUUAUCAGUACUGUGCUUUUGGAGGAUUCAGAAGAAGUUAUAUCUGAUUGGGAGAUUGAAAAGGAUUGGCCUGAAGGAGAGGUGGUUUUUGAACUGCAUCUUAAAGGAUGAGGAAACUGAGGCUGAGAGGGUAGAGAACUUUGCCUGAGGUCACUCAGCAGGGACCCACCCAUCACAGUAAAUGCCAGCACUGCUGAUGCCAAAACAAUGUUAUUUGUAGGCCCUCGGAAUUUGUGACCUGAAGGAAGAAGAGCAGGGCCGUGGGAAGUAUGUAACCAGUGUCAUGCCCCUGGUCCCAAGGAAGCAGUGGCUUGGUAAAGAGGGGACCCCCGUCAAUAACUCCCUGUAAUUACUGGGCACCCACUCUGAGCUCCUCAGUGGAAUCCUAAGGUUAAUAAGACUGUCUCUAGCCACUGGGGCUCCCAGCCUGGAGUGAGUGAGCCCGGUGCCCCCCCGGGCCUCCUCAGUGAGCUGAGGAGGCUCAGCAGUGCCUGCACGUCCCCUCGCCACAAUGUCAUGUGCCACCUCUUCAAAGGAGGGAUGUACCAGCUAGUGGACGUGACCUUGACUGCAAAGGGCGGCACGCAGCUGAUGUAAUGGUCGCUUAAGUGUUCACAAAUGCCUGAACACCCUGUCCUACCUGGUCCUACCUGGAUGCUGGCCUCAGUAAGCUCCUGGGCUCAUUGAAGAUGAACCUAGCAGUAGUAUUUACACCACUUGUUGUGUGCCCACUGUGGGCCCGGCGCCAUGCCGAGUGCUCUAUGGAUGUGAGAUGAGAACACUGAAGCAGUUUUUUCUAAAGAUAGCUGCCUGGCACAGUGGCUCACAUCUGUAGUCCCAGCAUUUGGGGAGGCCAAGGCAGGUGGAUCACUUGAGGCCAGGAAUUCAAGACCAGCAUGGCCAACAUGUGCUGGGAGAGAAAAGCAUACGACAUAGACAGGGAGGUCAAGCUCCACCACGCAGAUGAGGUGCAGGCCACCAGUCUUCCUCUGCCACAUCUCUUUCUGAAAAGGACUUCACAUUCACCCUUGCAAUCCAUGUGGGGACACUGUUGGAUAGGAGGCGUGGUCCCAGCGUGGUCUCCCUGUCUGGGCCUCUGCCUAUGCCAAAUGUUUGCCUUACGCUGCACACUCAAGAGGUUCCAUGUAUACAGAUGGGAAUUCCAGAGCUACAGAAAAGGCAGCAAGCACCAUGAUUUAAGCUAACCAGUGUGGAUUCACACCUUCCUCUCUCUCUAUCAGUGGCAGAACUACCAGCUAGAGUAAGAAGUGGUUGAUCCAGGACCUAAACAUUCUGGAAACUCUUGCCCACUUCUGGGAGAAAUGACCCAAUCCAUAGUACUAAGCACACCUUAACUUUCGUAGGACGCAGGCAAGUUGUCAUACCGUGUGCCUAAAUAUAGAAAAAUGAUCCACUGGACUAAUAAAGUGUUAAAUAAAAUA